UGCUCGCAUUUUUGCAAGAUUUUGUAAAUUUCAAGAAAGAAAUGGCGAAAGAAUCGGCUAAAAGAAGGGAGCCGACGUUAACGAAGGUAAGGGAGCGGUCAUUAUUUAUGGUGGGGGGUGGCACCGAAGAGAAAUGUUUUUCAUGGGAAAAAUUUUGCUGACCCAACCAUUAAAAAGUCAAAAAUUUGAUUACCCAACCUCAAAUAUCAAUUAAAAAAUAAUUACCCACCCCUGGCCAAGAACUUUACAAAAGGAUACCAUUCAGUUGUCACCAUGUCCUUUACCACUUCUGUGACACGAGUUUGAUAACAAAUUGUGAAAUGUUCUGCCGUCUAAAGUCUCAUAUUGUCUGCACAUGUAGUUUCUAAAUUGGAGACACCAUUUGUUUCCCAACAAAUCGGAAAAUGACAGAUAGUGACUCUGAUUGAUUCACAUAUUGUAUUUACAUAUGCUUUUUAGUCUCCAAUAUUUCAGUGAGUUAUGCUUUGGAAAUGACAAUAAUUUUUUAUUACCCAACCCUUGAGUUGUUUUGUUCUUCAUUUACCCAACCUUUUACUCACUCCAAAUUUUGUUUACCCAACCCUUUUCUCUUCGGUGCCACCCCCUGCCAUAAAUAAUGACCGGUCCCUA